GACGAACGCUGGCGGCGUGCUUAACACAUGCAAGUCGAACGGAAAGGCCUGCUUUCCCUUGUGGAUUGCGGGUACUCGAGUGGCGAACGGGUGAGUAACACGUGAGUGAUCUGCCCCCAACUUGGGUAUAAGCCUGGGAAACUGGGUCUAAUUCCCGAUAGGACUGCAGGGUGGUGCCUGUGGUGGAAAACGAUUUUCUAGUGGUUGGGGAUGAGCUCGCGGCCUAUCAGCUUGUUGGUGGGGUAAUGGCCUACCAAGGCGGCGACGGGUAGCCGGCCUGGGAGGGUGGACGGCCACAUUGGGACUGAGAUACGGCCCAGACUCCUACGGGAGGCAGCAGUGGGGAAUAUGACACAAUGGGCGGAAGCCUGAUGCAGCGACGCCGCGUGGGGGAUGACGGCCUUCGGGUUGUAAACUCCUUUCGACCGCGAGGAAGCCACCUGGUUGGAAGGGUGGUGACGGUAGUGGUAGAAGAAGCACCGACUAACUACGUG
rnacentral:rRNA from 1 species